AUACGUAGGUGGCAAGCGUUGUCCGGAAUUACUGGGUGUAAAGGGCGUGUAGGCGGAGCGGCAAGUCAGAAGUGAAAUCUCCGGGCUUAACCCGGAAACUGCUUUUGAAACUGUCGCCCUUGAGUAUCGGAGAGGCAGGCGGAAUUCCUAGUGUAGCGGUGAAAUGCGUAGAUAUUAGGAGGAACACCAGUGGCGAAGGCGGCCUGCUGGCCGACAACUGCCGCUGAGGCGGGAAAGCGUGGGGAGCAAACAGGAUUAGAUACCCUGGUAGUCCACGCCGUAAACGAUGGAUACUAGGUGUGGGGGGACUGACCCCCUCCGUGCCGCAGUCAACACAAUAAGUAUCCCACCUGGGGAGUACGAUCGCAAGAUUGAAACUCAAAUGAAUUGACGGGG
rnacentral:rRNA from 1 species